UAGUCAUAUGCUUGUCUCUAAGAGUAAGCCAUACAUGUCUCGGCAUAAACCUACGUAUGGAGAAGCUGCGAAUGGCUCAUUAGAACACAAGUGGUUUAUCUGGUACAUGAAACAUAGAUGGAUAACUGUGGUAAUUUUAGGGGUAAUACAUGCGUAAAAACCGGACUUCGAGGAAAGGGGGUAUUUUUUAGACAAAGAAAUAAUCCGUUUCGGCGGCAUUUAGAUGAAUCAUAAUAAAAGCAUGGAGCGUAUGACUUGGGUCGGCGCUACACCAUUCAAGUUUUUGACCUAUCAGCUUUCGACGGCAGGGGAUUGGCUUACCGUGGCAUUGACGGGGAAAGGGGAAUUAGGGUUCGAUUCCGGAGAGGAAGCCCGAGA
rnacentral:rRNA from 1 species